GAUGCGUGAUACGUAUCGUCACUUUAUAAUAAGCAUUACAAAAUAUUUGGAACACUCUCACUAGGUAUGCAACCAACGUUACAGACACUUGUAUUGAAAGUUGCUGUUGAUCGACGACAAAGUUGGUAACUUUGGGAAAUUCAGAACCUAGAAGUUGGUUUGUGUGUCGAUACGGCUUCCGGCUGACGUGAUUGUCAUUGUAGAGGGACCGGAUCGUCACUUCAAUCUCGGCUUUUGUGGAAGCCAGACCUCACACCAGUGGCCAUUACGGAGAAUAUAAAAUUUUGGUUGAAAUGUUUUAAAUAGAAUAUUAAUUUACGUGAGAAGGAGUUGUUUUGUUUUUGGUUAAGUGUUUGAAGAGAAGAGUUUUUGUGUUCCAACACCUUUUUUUUUGAAGAGUAAUGGCCACUGGUGGAGACCAAGAUUAAGUCACCCCAAACAAGUUUUGAAAUGGAAUAGACAAUCAUUUUGGGUUUUUGGGCAUUGGAUGGAGUUUAGUUUUGGUUUAUUUUCUUUGGGAAAAUAUAUAGUUUUCCGGUGCUAGGAAGUAGCUCCUUGUCGCACCUCAUCUUCAUACCUUCUGGUUGGUGAGAAGUACUUCCCCUAAGAUAGGGAAAACCGGAAGAUACCUUACUUGGCUCUCCCCGUAUCAACUACUGGAGUUUGGAGAAGCCACAGUCCUGCAUUUAGUAGAAGCGACAGGUUUUUAUUGUUAAAAUUUACAUUUACAAUCCUUUUGCCUAAUAUUUUUUUUUUCAACUUUAACAUUUUUAAUAACAUAGAUAACCUUAAAAAUCAUGUAAAUUCAACUCUUCUAAAAUCAAUUCACUUUAUCAUAUUAAAUAUUUUCUUUUCAACAAAUUUUAGGUCAUUUUCAGUAUUGUAUCUUUAUUUAAAAUAGUCCGGAGAUCAUAACCUACCUGGUAAGAUAAUGUGCACACUAUCGUAAGGUUAUUACCUCAUCUCUUUAAUAGUAUUUAUUUCAUUCGUAAGUAUUGUCCGGUUCGUCAUUCUGAUCAGAUACGAAAUUGUCAACCAAUGUUGUAAUACUCUUUAAUAAUAAGUUUUUGUACAUGCAUAUUCAAAUCAACUAAUUGUCUUGGUAUAAUAAAUUCAAUCCAUUUUUAUACUGUAAUAUAUAGGUUAUAGACAGGAGCGUACUAGCCUAGUACGUCAGGUGUUAGCUAGUUUGUAUAAAUUGUAUAUAGGGGUUAUAGGUAAUUUUUUUCCAUUAAACUGGUUGGUUGUACAUA